AAAUUCUAAACAGCCUUCUGUUUCUGAGCAAUUGUCUGGUCCUUCAGACUCCUCUAGUUGGCCGAAAUCUGGAUGGCCUUCUGCAUUUCAGAAGCCAAAAGGACGAUUGCCAUAUGAACUUCAGGACUAUGUUGAAGAUACAUCGGAAUACCUAGCUCCUCAGGAAGGAAAUUUUGUUUAUAAGUUAUUUAGCCUGCAAGACCUGUUGUUACUCGUACGCUGCAGUGUCCAGAGGAUAGAGACAAGACCACGUUCUAAAAAACGGAAGAAAAUCAGAAGAGUAAGUUGUUAUUUGCGGAGUUAGAAUAUGAUCACAUAAAUAAUCAAUAGAUACUUAACAUGCCAUUACUGUGAAGUUUAAAUUGUUGAGCACUCAUAGUAGUAUCUUCAGGUUGAGUUUUGUUUUUUGUUUUUUGUUUUUACUAAAAUGCUGAGAUCGAUUUUAAUAAGGGAAAGUGUUUGUAUAUAGUAGCCAUAAAUGCCGGUAACAUUCAUGCUUGGAAUAUACAGAUUGAGCAGCCCUAAUCCAAAAUUCAAAAUGCUCCAAAGUUUGAAAACUUUUAAGCUCCGGCAUGGUAUCACAAGUGGAAAAUUCCACACAUGACCUCGUAUGAUGGGUCACAGGCCAAACUCCAGUCAAAACUUUGUUUCAUGUGUAAAAGUAUAUAAAAUAUUGUAUAAAAUUACUCUCAGGCUCUAUGUAUAUGGUGGAUAUGAAACAUAAAAGGGUUUUGUGUUUAGACUUGAGUCCUGUCCCCA
rnacentral:lncRNA from 1 species